AUUGAACGCUGGCGGCAGGCCUAACACAUGCAAGUCGAGCGAGCGGCGGACGGGUGAGUAAUGUCUGGGAAACUGCCUUAUGGAGGUGGAUAACUACUGGAAACUUUAUCUAAUACCGCAUACCAUCAGAUGUCCCCAGAUGGUAUUAUCGAGUAGGUGGGGUAAUGGCUCACCUAGGCGACGAUCCCUAGCUGGUCUGAAAGGAUGACCAGCAACACUGGAACUGAGACACAGUCCAGACGCCUACGGGAGGCGGCAGAGGGGAAUAGGGCACAAGGGGAGCAAGCCUGAUGCAGCGAUGGAGCGGCGGUGAAGAAGGCCUUCGGGUUGGAAAGCACUUUCAGCGGGGAGGCGUUACUCGCAGAAGAAGCACCGGCUAACUCCGUGCCAGCAGCCGCGGUAAUAC
rnacentral:rRNA from 1 species